rnacentral:rRNA from 1 species
CACGUAGGGCGCAAGCGUUGUCCGGAAUUAUUGGGCGUAAAGAGCUCGUAGGCGGUCUGUUGCGUCCGCUGUGAAAACUCGGGGCUUAACCCCGAGCCUGCAGUGGAUACGGGCAGACUAGAGGUAGGUAGGGGAGAAUGGAAUUCCCGGUGUAGCGGUGAAAUGCGCAGAUAUCGGGAGGAACACCGGUGGCGAAGGCGGGUCUCUGGGCAACAACUGACGCUGAAGAGCGAAAGCGUGGGGAGCGAACAGG